CAGCAGCCGCGGUAAUACAGAGGGUGCGAGCGUUAAUCGGAAUUACUGGGCGUAAAGCGCGCGUAGGCGGCUUUGCAAGUCGGGUGUGAAAUCCCCAGGCUUAACCUGGGAACUGCAUUCGAGACUGCAUUGCUAGAGUAUGGGAGAGGGAAGUGGAAUUUCCGGUGUAGCGGUGAAAUGCGUAGAUAUCGGAAGGAGCAUCAGUGGCGAAAGCGACUUCCUGGACCAAUACUGACGCUCAUGUGCGAAAGCGUGGGGAGCAAACAGGAUUAGAUACCCUGGUAGUCCACGCCAUAAACGAUGAGAACUGGAUGUCGGGAGGGUCUGCCUCUCGGUGUCGUAGCUAACGCGUUAAGUUCUCCGCCUGGGGAGUACGGCCGCAAGGUUGAAACUCAAAGG
rnacentral:rRNA from 1 species